GGUCUAGCUCAGUGUUAGAGCAAAUGCUUAGUAUGCAUUAGGACUUGAGUUCGAGCUCAGCACCA
rnacentral:tRNA from 1 species